UACGUAGGGGGCAAGCGUUGUCCGGAUUUAUUGGGCGUAAAGAGCGUGUAGGCGGCCAGGUAGGUCAGCUGUGAAAACUCGAGGCUCAACCUCGAGACGUCGGUUGAAACCACCUGGCUAGAGUCCGGAAGAGGAGAGUGGAAUUCCUGGUGUAGCGGUGAAAUGCGCAGAUAUCAGGAAGAACACCCGUGGCGAAGGCAGGUCUCUGGGCCACUACUGACGCUGAGAAGCGAAAGCAUGGGGAGCGAACAGG
rnacentral:rRNA from 1 species